rnacentral:rRNA from 1 species
CCUACGGGUGGCAGCAGUGGGGAAUAUUGGGCAAUGGUCGCAAGCCUGACCCAGCAACGCCGCGUGAAGGAAGAAGGCUCUCGGGUUUUAAACUUCUUUUCUCGGGGACGAAGCAAGUGACGGUACCUGAGGAAUAAGCCACGGCUAACUACGUGCCAGCAGUCGCGGUAAUACGGAGGUGGCAAGCGUUAUCCGGAUUUACUGGGUGUAAAGGUCGGGUAGGCGGGAAAGCAAGUCAGAUGUGAAAACCAUGGGCUCAACCUGUGGCCUGCAUUUGAAACUGUUUUUCUUGAGUACUGGAGAGGCAGACGGAAUUCCUAGUGUAGCGGUGAAAUGCGUAGAUAUUAGGAGGAACACCAGUGGCGAAGGCGGUCUGCUGGACAGCAACUGACGCUGAGGCGCGAAAGCGUGGGGAGCAAACAGGAUUAGAUACCCCAGUAGUC